UACUGUUAAUGAUGCUAAUAUAAUUACAGUGGGAAUCUCUCUGAAAAAAUGUGGAAGGCUUGUAAUUACUGAAUCAGUA